rnacentral:rRNA from 1 species
CCUACGGGAGACAGCAGUGGGGGAUAUUGGACAAUGGGCGGAACCCUGAUCCAGCGACGCCGCGUGAGUGAAGAAGGAUUUCGGUAUGUAAAGCUCUUUCAGCCGGGAAGAAAGCACUGACGGUACUUCCCCAAGAAGCUCCGGCUAACUACGUCCCAGCCGCCGCGGUAAUCCGUAGGGGGCAAGCGUUAUCCGGAAUUACUGGGUGCAAAGGGCGCGUAGACGGCUGUGCAAGUCUGGAGUGAAUGUCGUGGGCGCAACCCGCGGACUGCUCUGGAAACUGGAUGGCUGGAGUGCAGGAGAGGUAAGCGGAAUUCCAGGUGUAGCGGUGAAAUGCGUAGAUAUCAGGAGGAACACCAGUGGCGAAGGCGGCUUACUGGAC